GAUGAACGCUGGCGGCGUGCCUAAUACAUGCCAGUCGAGCGAACAGACGAGGAGCUUGCUCCUCUGACGUUAGCGGCGGACGGGUGAGUAACACGUGGAUAACCUACCUAUAAGACUGGGAUAACUUCGGGAAACCGGAGCUAAUACCGGAUAAUAUAUUGAACCGCAUGGUUCAAUAGUGAAAGACGGUUUUGCUGUCACUUAUAGAUGGAUCCGCGCCGCAUUAGCUAGUUGGUAAGGUAACGGCUUACCAAGGCAACGAUGCGUAGCCGAACUGAGAGGGUGAUCGGCCACACUGGAACUGAGACACGGUCCAGACUCCUACGGGAGGCAGCAGUAGGGAAUCUUCCGCAAUGGGCGAAAGCCUGACGGAGCAACGCCGCGUGAGUGAUGAAGGUCUUCGGAUCGUAAAACUCUGUUAUUAGGGAAGAACAAAUGUGUAAGUAACUAUGCACGUCUUGACGGUACCUAAUCAGAAAGCCACGGCUAACUACGUG
rnacentral:rRNA from 1 species